rnacentral:rRNA from 1 species
GAUGAACGCUGGCGGCGUGCUUAACACAUGCAAGUCGAACGGAAAGGCCCAAGCUUGCUUGGGUACUCGAGUGGCGAACGGGUGAGUAACACGUGGGUGAUCUGCCCUGCACUUCGGGAUAAGCCUGGGAAACUGGGUCUAAUACUGGAUAGGACCACUUCUUGGAUGGUGUGGUGGAAAGUUUUUUCGGUGUGGGAUGAGCUCGCGUCCUAUCAGCUUGUUGGUGGGGUAGUGGCCUACCACGCCGUCGACGGGUAGCCGGCCUGAGAGGGUGUACGGCCACAUUGGGACUGGGAUACGGCGCAGACUCCUACGGGAGGCAGCAGUGGGGAAUAUUGCACAAUGGGCGCAAGCCUGAUGCAGCGACGCCGCGUGGGGGAUGACGGCCUUCGGGUUGUAAACUCCUUUCGCUAGGGACGAAGCGUUUUUGUGACGGUACCUGGAGAAGAAGCACCGGCUAACUACGUG